rnacentral:rRNA from 1 species
AGUGAACGCUGGCGGUAGGCCUAACACAUGCAAGUCGAACGGCAGCACAGUAAGAGCUUGCUCUUACGGGUGGCGAGUGGCGGACGGGUGAGGAAUACAUCGGAAUCUACUUUUUCGUGGGGGAUAACGUAGGGAAACUUACGCUAAUACCGCAUACGACCUACGGGUGAAAGCAGUGGAUCUUCGGACCUUGCGCGAUUGAAUGAGCCGAUGUCGGAUUAGCUAGUUGGCGGGGUAAAGGCCCACCAAGGCGACGAUCCGUAGCUGGUCUGAGAGGAUGGUCAGCCACACUGGAGCUGAGACACGGUCCAGACGCCUACGGGAGGCAGCAGUGGGGAAUAUUGGACAAUGGGCGCAAGCCUGAUCCAGCCAGACCGCGUGGGAGAAGAAGGCCUUCGGGUUGUAAAGCCCUUUUGUUGGGAAAGAAAAGCAGCAGGUUAAUACCACGCUGUUCUGACGGUACCCAAAGAAUAAGCACCGGCUAACUUCGUG